rnacentral:misc_RNA from 1 species
GAUGAAGAACGUAGCGAAAUGCGAUAAGUAAUGUGAAUUGCAGAAUUCCGUGAAUCAUCGAAUCUUUGAACGCAUAUUGCGCCCUUUGGUAUUCCGGGGGGCAUGCCUGUCCGAGCGUCAUUACUAUCUUCAAGCACGGCUUGUGUGUUGAGCAUUCUGUUCUCUUUUUCAUGAACAGGGCUUGAAAUGCAAUGGCGAUGGUAACAUUGGAUGCCCGAGCGUAUGGGGCUCUGUCACACGCUCUGGUGGCUCCAGCUUGCCUUCUGUCCAGCUUUAUAUAUCAAACUUGAAUUGACCUCGGAUCAGGUAGGGGUACCCGCUGAACUUAAGCAUAUCAAUAAGCGGAGGA